CCUACGGGAGGCUGCAGUGGGGGAUAUUGCACAAUGGGGGGAACCCUGAUGCAGCGACGCCGCGUGGGUGAAGAAGCGCCUCGGCGCGUAAAGCCCUGUCAGCAGGGAAGAAAAUGACGGUAACUGAAGAAGAAGCCCCGGCCAACUACGUGCCAGCCGCCGCGGUAAGACGUAGGGGGCAAGCGUUAGCCGGAUGUACUGGGUGUAAAGGGGGCGCAGACGGCGAUGCAAGCCAGGAGUGAAAGCCCGGGGCCCAACCCCGGGACUGCGCUUGGAACUGCGUGGCUGGGGUGAGGGAGGGGCAGGCGGAAUUCCUGGUGUAGCGGUGAAAUGCGUAGAUAUCAGGAGGAACACCGGUGGCGAAGGCGGCCUGCUGGACUGCAACUGACGUUGAGGCCCGAAAGCGUGGGGAGCGAACAGGAUUAGAUACCCGAGUAGUC
rnacentral:rRNA from 1 species